rnacentral:rRNA from 1 species
ACUGGGCGUAAGCGCGCGCUAGGCUGGUCUUGAUCACGAUCGCAAUGUUGAAAAUCCCCUGCGGGCUUCAACCUGCUGGAACGUGGCCUUGUGGAUACUGCCUCUGGCCUUAGACUGCGUGAAGAGGGGUGGUAGAAUUUCCCGGUGUAGCAGUGAAAUGCGUAGAUAUUCGGAGGAACACCGAUGGCGAAGGCAGCCCCCUGGGUCGUUACUGACGCUCAUGCACGAAAGCGUGGGGAGCAAACCGGAUUAGAUACCCUGGUAGUCCACGCCCUAAACGAUGUGCACUAGGUGUUGGGGUUUUUUGGCCUCGGAACGCGACGUCACUCGCGCUGUUCCUCCCCUGGACGGUCACGACGCUCGAUUUC